rnacentral:rRNA from 1 species
ACAUGAAGUCGGAAUUGCUAGUAAUCGCGGAUCAGCAUGCCGCGGUGAAUACGUUCCCGGGCCUUGUACACACCGCCCGUCACACCAUGAGAGCCGGUAACACCCGAAGUCAGUAGCCUAAACCGCAAGGGGGGGCGCUGCCGAAGGUGGGAUUGGUAAUUGGGGUGAAGUCGUAACAAGGUACC